rnacentral:rRNA from 1 species
UGAGGAAUAUUGGUCAAUGGACGGAAGUCUGAACCAGCCAUGCCGCGUGAAGGAUGAAGGCGUUCUGCGUUGUAAACUUCUUUUAUCUGGGAAGAAACCACAGAUUUCUAUUUGUGUUGACGGUACCAGAAGAAUAAGCACCGGCUAACUCCGUGCCAGCAGCCGCGGUAAUACGGAGGACCCAAGCGUUGUCCGGAUUUACUGGGUGUAAAGGGUGCGCAGGCGGAUGGGUAAGUCAGGGGUGAAAGUCUGCAGCUUAACUGUAGAAUUGCCUUUGAUACUGCUCAUCUUGAGUGUGGGAGAGGUUGAUGGAAUUCCAGGUGUAGCAGUGAAAUGCGUAGAUAUCUGGAAGAACACCAGUGGCGAAGGCGGUCAACUGGCCCAUAACUGACGCUCAUGCACGAAAGCGUGGGGAGCAAACA